rnacentral:tRNA from 1 species
UGCCCCAUGGCGCAAUUGGCUAGCGCGUCAGACUGUUAUUCCACUUCGGAACGUCAAUCUGGAGGCUCUGAGUUCGACCCUCAGUGGGGCAG